rnacentral:misc_RNA from 1 species
GAUGAAGAACGUAGCAAAAUGCGAUACUUGGUGUGAAUUGCAGAAUCCCGUGAACCAUCGAGUUUUUGAACGCAAGUUGCGCCCGAAGCCUUUUGGCCGAGGGCACGUCUGCCUGGGCGUCACGCAUCGCGUCGCCCCCCACAAUUCUCCGUAAAGGGAACAUGUGUUUUGGGGGCGGAUAUUGGUCUCCCGUGCUCAUGGCGUGGUUGGCCGAAAUAGGAGUCCUUUCGAUGGACGCACGAACUAGUGGUGGUCGUAAAAACCCUCGUCUUUUGUUUCGUGCUGUUGCUCGCAAGGUAAACUCUUUAAAAACCCCAAUGUGCCGUCUCUUGACGACGCUUCGACCGCGACCCCAGGGCAGGCGGGACUACCCGCUGAGUUUAAGCAUAUCAAUAAGCGGAGGA